rnacentral:rRNA from 1 species
UCUCCUGGGAAACGGGUGGUAAUGCCGGAUGCUCCAGUUGAUCGCAUGGUCUUCUGGGAAAGCUUUCGCGGUAUGGGAUGGGGUCGCGUCCUAUCAGCUUGACGGCGGGGUAACGGCCCACCGUGGCUUCGACGGGUAGCCGGCCUGAGAGGGCGACCGGCCACAUUGGGACUGAGAUACGGCCCAGACUCCUACGGGAGGCAGCAGUGGGGAAUAUUGCACAAUGGGCGCAAGCCUGAUGCAGCGACGCCGCGUGAGGGAUGGAGGCCUUCGGGUUGUAAACCUCUUUUAUCGGGGAGCAAGCGUGAGUGAGUUUACCCGUUGAAUAAGCACCGGCUAACUACGUGCCAGCAGCCGCGGUAAUACGUAGGGUGCAAGCGUUAUCCGGAAUUAUUGGGCGUAAAGGGCUCGUAGGCGGUUCGUCGCGUCCGGUGUGAAAGUCCAUCGCUUAACGGUGGAUCCGCGCCGGGUACGGGCGGGCUUGAGUGCGGUAGGGGAGACUGGAAUUCCCGGUGUAACGGUGGAAUGUGUAGAUAU